GUCCCUUCGGGGACAUCCGAUAAAACUGGAACGAUACAGAGAAGAUUAGCAUGGCCCCUGCGCAAGGAUGGCAUACACAAAUCGAGAAAUAGUCCAAAUUUUU
rnacentral:snRNA from 1 species